UAAAUCUGAAUCCAAGCAAAAGAACAGCAAAAGUAGCAUUCACGUCAAUAAUUUAUAACGUAUUUAAAGGUCAACCUCACUGACAAAAAUUUAUUUUUUAUACUCUGAGUUUUUCAUUCAGGCUGAACAUGAAAAUAGUCUCCUACACCUUUCUGCAUCAGCUUCUGAUAGAAAAUAGACGGUGAAAUUGUUGGAUUAGAAAAGCCUGACAGAUCCACGUCACACUGUCACUUAACAUUCACGGACUCACCCAUCUUGGCUCACGACGGGGAAGGCUGCUGUUGGUUUAGCGUCCGGGAAACAGCAGAGAACGUCUCUGCUAGUAGAAGCUAACCGUUAGCAUUAGCAACGCCACCACACAGCAGAACUCCUGCAGGCUUGUGUUAUGUGUGGAGAUAAAACAUCAACGUUGCAGAGCAAACAGAGUCAGUGGCAGAGCUGCGUUGCAGUUAGCCAAUCAGAGGAGAGAUGUUUAAAUAUCAGGAAAUGAGACUCCGAAUCCUGUCGUGUUCAGCUCAACUCUGAUCUUAUUCACUUCGAGUUCCUGGAACUGUCAGGAUCUGGGGUGAGUCAGCACCAUUCUGGUCAUCGUGCCUCAGGCUCUGCAGGUGGGCGGUUCCGGAGAGCGGCCAGCUGCAGGCUAUCUCCAAUCAACCGGUCCAGGGUUUAUAAGGAGCUGAGAGAUCACUUCACUUCGCCGGAUGAUUACUCACUUUGGGAACUCUCACCGCUGACCAAUUCUGCAAUAACCUGGAUUUCACCUCCGAGCCUGAUCUCCCUCCACACCUGGACCGACACACUCUCCCACCGCUCACCUCCCUUGGAUUCGGAUUACCUCCGACGCUGCUCACCCCAGUCCUGCCUACCCUCCCAAGCUCUUGGAUUUCCGCUCCACAACCCAGGCCCGGAGCCGUGCUCAGCAUCACCGCCACGUCUGGCGGUGCACCUUUAGUUUCCUUCAAAAUAAAACAUUUAUUUAUUUCUUACCUACGUC